UCCGUUAUGGUGUAGUGGCUAACAUUAUCGCCUCUCAAGGCAGCUCCAUAUGAUGCCUCGCGAUAGCCCAGGGUUCGAUUCCCUGUAACGGAA